UCACAACGCCCCACACAGACUUUUGCACGUAUAGGAAAUCCAAUAAAUUAAAUUCCUUCAAGAUUUCCAUUUGCAAAGCAGAUAGCACCAAUGAUAAGGGUGGAGAAAGCUGGGAAAAGACGCCAAGUGCGAAAAAUAUCCCUGGUGACGCAACAGGCUGUUGGAACCCACCAGUGACUCUGAGAAAGAAAAGACCUGCUCCUAUAAAGACCACAGCCUAGAAAACCCCACGAGGAAGUUCUACACUGCCCUAGAGGGUCGCAAUAAGUCCUAAGCGACUAGACAGCACGCAAAAACAACGGGGGACUAAAAACUACAUUUCCCAGGAAGCCACUGACUGGGCCUACAACACCCAUCAUGCCUCUGUCCGGGCUUGUCAGUAACCAGUUUGCUGCCAUCCACUGUUCAAAGAAGUGUAGAGAAAGAGAGAACGUAUUGGUGCAGCAACGAUAUUUCCUAUCCACCGGGUAGCCCUGCUGAACCGUGGUUGUUCCAGUUGUUGCUCAUACCCAGACUCAGUGCCGUCGAGUCCAUUAAAGUCCAUUAGAGGGAACAAAAGGUUGCCUGCAGUGCCCACGCGCCACGUGACCAACUCGGGUCAUGUGACUUCGGACCCCAGCGGCUGAAGACUGUUACCCUAGCAACUGCUGGGCCCCUCCUCACUUUCCCGAAAAGCGUCGAAGUCAGAGACACGGGUAAGUGAAGCAUAAAUGCUUGCUACUCACUGGGAUCGCCGUUACCUAGAUCCUGCUUCAUUCCCAGUCCUCUGGGAUUUAAGUUUUCUGGGUCAUUCUCCAACUCCAUCCGGGCUCCACUGCACAUGAAUUUUUGUCUUUCCGCCAACUUCCGAAUCCGCGCUUCCUGGAGCCGGAACCCUGCCGGGCAGCGGAUCCUUUGAGUGGAAUCCUCCUCUGAGCAACCUUUUGCCGCCGACUUUACGGCACGCUCCUGGGACUGAUCGGAAAUACUAGUGAGGGGAAGGAGUUCUGCACGUUGGGCAAGAUAUUGUGUGGGUCCCCCCAUCCUCCACCUCGGAAAUAGAAAGCUGGGGUUCCAGCUCCUUCGAGGAGUCAGAAUCCAGAGCUGGAGCAGAUCUGAAGCUGAGUUCAUUAAGGAGAGUUUCCAAUUUUGAAAAUACUUUGGAAUGUUUACUGUGGGAAGUGGAAAUUAUUGAUUAUGGCUCACUAUUCCAGAGAAGAGCUAGAUGAAGAGUUUGAACAGUUUAUGAAAGAGCUUUCAGAUGAUUCUUUUGAAAAUUCAAACAAAACACCUAGACAGACUAAAAAAGAAGAAAAGAAGAAAGAUACAGUGCCAUGGUGGAUAACUGAAGAUGAUUUUGAAGGUGGUGGACUGCUUGGAACAAAUGUAAGCUAUUUGAAAACAAGGAAGACUUCUCAGCCUAUUAUGGAAAUCGAGGAGGAGUCUGCUGAAAAGAUAGAAUUUCUUAAGAGCAGUGGAACUUCUAUCUUAAGUAUUGACAGCUUAGAAACAAAUGAGCUCGUAGUUUCUGAGCUUAAUCAUAGUAUUCUCGGAUUGGGAUUGGACACGUUAGAAGAACAAGAGGAGAAAGAGCAAUUUUUUGCCAGGCUUGAGACAGGUUUAACAUCUUCCAUUGACUAUUCAAGAUUAAAUAAAGAAUUGGAUUCUAAUGACUCCACUCAUUUUAAAGCUUUACUUAGUAAUCAAGCCAAUAUAGAAUUAACUGAAGAUGGACAUGAGAAUAAAACUGUACAUGAAGAACUGGCAGAAAAUUACAGUGAUGAUUUUGAAGAGGAAGAGGACACUGAUGCACCUUUGGCUACUAAAGAAGAAGAGAGUCAUUCCAAGGAAAAUCCCCAGUCAGAAAAAGUAAAUGUACCCAAACAGGAAGAAGAGAAAACUGGCAUGCUGGCUAAUGUUGUGCUGCUUGAUUCAUUAGACUCCAUUGUAGAUGUCAACCUUGAUGAACAGGAUAAAGCUGCAAGUAAGCCACAGGCCCCACCAGAGAUGACUAAUAAUGAAAUGACAGGAACAGGUAUUUCUUAUGGACAAAGCAAUAGUGACAUUGAAGCCCUACAGCAGGCUUAUCAUCAUAUAGCCCAUUCUUUGGGAGAUACAGACAAACAAAGAUUUGAGAAUAAUGCAGUAGAAAAUACCAAGAACUCCGUGAAAGAUCAUCCUCAAGACAAUGACGAUGAGUCCUCAAAAAACAACUCAACUACUGAAUCUGAUCUGCCCACAGUAGAAGAGCUGAUGAAACCUAUCAGAAUAGAUUCCUUUGGGGUCAGUGGUUUUGAUUUACAACCUGUCAGCUCUAAAAUACUGGCUGAUAAUAAAGAAACUGAAUUUGUUAGCCCUUUACUUAAGACAAACUCAAAUGUUAAGUUUCAAGAGCCACACCACGUGAACCAAUUUUUUGACAAAAAUGAUGAGAAUGUGGUUUUACAAAAGACAGCAAAUGAAGGUAUAGAAAAUAGCUGUCCACGAGUAACUGCUACAGAAGAACACAUAGAUAAAAUGUACCUUGAUGUUUUGAGGAGAAAACUCUCUGUUGAUCCUUCAUUAUUACCUCAGGAUGACAAAAUUAAUAAAACUUUGAUAUCUCAACUCAGUUUUAGAGAAGAAGGGGCUGUAAUUGGUAAAGAGCUGCUGUAUAAGAAGGCUAGAAGUGCACCUCCUUUACUUAAAAGAAAACCCCAGAGUGGAUUAUAUGCAUCAGUUAGGAGCUCAGGCUAUGGCAAACCCAAUUCACCAUCCAAGACGUUUUCUACUCUUGAAAAGAAAACUUCAAAGGACAUUAUGAAGAACAAAAACUUGAGAUCUGUUCCCACCUCAAAUCAAGCUAGGAAAAAGGAAAUCUUAUCUGGAACAAAAGUCAUUAAGCCUGCAGCUUUGGGCACACCAGCUCCCAAAACUGAAAGUUGCCUGGCUGCUACUCCUGAGAAGUCUGAAGAUCCUAUACAAAUUGAUUCCUGUGUUCAGUUUCCGAAUGAUUCCUUAGGAUACUCUGGUGGGAACAAGGAGACAGAAUUACUUAUGUUUAGAAGAGUUCAGGAAGCAGAGGAAAAAUGGAGGGGUGCACAAGUCCUAAUUGAGCAAAUUAAAGUCACAUUCUCAGAUAAAGAAAGAGAGCUGGAAAAUAAGAUGGAAGAACUAAAGAAACAACAGGAAAAAGAACUCUUCAAAUUAAAUCAAGACAAUUAUAUUCUUCAAGCAAAGUUAAGUAGCCUUGAAGAAGCAAACAAAAAACAAAGAUGGCUACAUUUUGGAGAAAUAACUGAUCCUGUCACUGAAGAAAAACUGAAGCAAAUCCAAAAAGAAAUACAGGAACAAGAGACACUUCUUCAAGGAUAUCAACAGGAAAAUGAAAGAUUGUAUAAUCAAGUGAAAGAGCUCCAAGAACAAAACAAGAAAAAUGAGGAGCGAAUGUUCAAGGAAAACCAGAGUUUGUCCAGCGAGUUAGCUUCCUUAAAAGAACAAAUGCAUGAAAGUCGUUUCCUGUCUCGAGUAGUUGAAGACUCAGAGCCCACCAGAAACCAGAGUUUUACAGAACUGUUAGCAGAACUCCGAAUGGCACAGAAAGAAAAAAACAGUUUAUUGGAAGACAUCAAAAUACUGAAGCAAGACAAACAAGCUCUUGAAGUAGACUUGGAAAAGAUGAAAAAAGAGAGAGACCAAGCCAAAGAUCAGAUUGCUUAUGCUACAGGUGAAAAAUUAUAUGAAAUCAAAAUUUUAGAAGAAACACAUAAACAAGAAAUCAGUCGCCUACAAAAGAGGUUACAGUGGUAUGCUGAAAACCAGGAACUUCUAGAUAAAGAUGCCGUUCGGCUUAAAGAAGCAAAUGAAGAAAUCGAGAAGUUCAAACUUGAGAUUGAGAAACUGAAAGCUGAAUCUGGAAAUCCGUCUAUUCAACAGAAGAUACGUUUAAAAGAUAAAGCAGUUGAUGCCAAAAAAAUUCAGGAUCUGGAACGACAAGUUAAGGAAAUGGAAGGAAUUCUAAAGAGAAGAUAUCCCAAUUCUUUACCUGCUUUGAUAUUGGCUGCAUCAGCAGCGGGUGACACAGUGAAUAGAAAUACAGUGGAAUUUAUGGAAAAAAGGAUUAAAAAGCUAGAAGCUGAUCUUGAGGGCAAAGAUGAAGAAGCAAAGAAAAGCCUUCGUACCAUGGAACAACAGUUUCAGAAAAUGAAGAUUCAGUAUGAACAGAGACUAGAGGAACAGGAGCAGCUACUCGCCAACAAAUUGAAGGAAGCAGCCCAGAACCAGCGCGACAACCCCGUGGCUAAAGCACUAGAGAAGGAACUCAGCGACAUUAAGGAAGCCCAUCAGAUCACUGUCAGAAACCUCGAAGCUGAAAUAGACAUGCUUAAACAUCAGAAUGCUGAAUUAGAACUCAAGAAGAAUGAUAAAGAUGAUAAAGAUUUCCAGUCUCUAGAAUUCCAGGUGGAACAGGCUCAUGCUAAAGCUAAGCUGGUAAGACUCAAUGAGGAACUGGCUGCAAAGGCCAGAGAAAUACAAGACCUUUCAAAAACUGUGGAGAGGCUUCAGAAGGAGAGAAGAAUGAUGCUAUCUAAUCAGAACUCUAAGGGUAGAGAGGAAAUGUCCACCAAAAAGGUGAAGAAAGAUGUUUUGCACACAGGUAAAGGAAAUGCUAACUCCUCUGGAACCCUGGAUGACAAGCUCUACCAGCCACACACUUUUACUGAUUCCCAUACAUCAGACGUUUUACAAGAAAACUUCAGAUUGAAAAAUGAACUACAGAGAGUAAUUUUGGAGAGGAAUGAGCUAAAGAUGAAAUCUGAAGCAGCAUCGAAUCAAUUUGAAAACUCCAUGAAAAGGCUCAAGGAAGAUAACACAGCACACAUUGCAUCCCUCAAAGCAUCUCAUCAGAGAGAAGUAGAGAAACUUCUUUGCCAAAAUGCAGUCGAAAAAUCUUCUUCCAAAGUAGCUGAACUAAAUCGUAAAAUAGCAACUCAAGAGGUACUUAUAAAACAUUUCCAAAAUCAAGUUAAUGAGCUACAGGGUAAGCAAGAGUCUCUUGUAGUUUCUCAAGUUCGAGAAGAAAUCCUACAGAAUGAGGUUACAAAACUCCUAGAAGAAUUGAGAGAAGCCAAAGAAAAUCAUACUCCAGAGAUGAAACAUUUCACGGGCUUAGAAAAGAAAAUUAAACAGAUGGAAAUGAGACAUGAACAAAGAGAACAGGAACUUCAGCAGAUAAUACAGCAAACACGCCAAGUAGUAGAAACUGAGCAAAACAAAGAAACUGAGAAAUGGAAAAGACUUGCACAAUUAAAGAAUCGAGAGCUGGACAAGUUUCGCACGGAAUUAGACUCAAUAUUAGAUGUCCUUCGGGAGCUUCACCGACAGGGAGUUGUUUUUCCAGCUGCUGUUUCAGAGGACGCUCAUGCCCCGGACCCGGAGGAUCACUAGGAAGCCUGGUCUCAGAGGCCUCACUGUUCGGCCUGGAGACACACGGGAUGGCGCCACUACCAGGAGCUUUUCAGAAUAAGUAUUCUUUUCUGUUACCAGAAGCAAACAAUAAAAAAACAACGUUUCAAAAUAAAUUACCCUUAACGAAUAAGAGAAAAAAAGUAUCAUGGCAUAUUUUACUGAAAAUCAUUACCCAGUCACAUUUUAAGUAAGUUAUGGACAAGUCCGUUUGUGUCAAAUGAUUAUAACUACUGAGAUUUAUGUAAAACGGCUUACUCAUAAGAAAUGGGAAGAAAAGGAAAUCUCCCACACUGCAUGUCACAUUAUCAUUGACCAAGUAUGUAUUCUGAAUUUUCUUUGUGCCAGAAAAGCGGCUCCUGCUUUUCCUGGAAACGCACAGUGGAAUAUGAGUGCAGUGGCUGGGCGAUCCUGUGGACUGCAGACAGUGUAAAGCUACCUCAGUAAUGUAGAUAAGAAUUCUAAUUUCUGUGCAGGUUAGACAGUGAAUUCUCUUGUUUCUCCCAGUUUUCAAAUCCUUCCUUGAGGGUCUCUUUUUUGCAUCUAUUAUAAGGUGAAAAUGUAUAUCUCACAAAUAAUAAGGGGAUUGAAUUUAUCCAUUCGUUUAAUCUUAAUUUAAAGAUUAAGUGGCAUAUCAUUUAACCUGCAUAUCUUAAAUGGCAAGCCUACCUUUUUGGUACCUUUGAAAAUUAUAAACAGAAUUCAGCAACAUUUUUACUUUCUCUGUUUAAAAUAUAGUAUGUGUCCCUUAGAAGAAUUACAAACAUGUGUAAAAGUAGCUGGAUUGUUAUUUCUUUUACAGUUCCCAUUUCCAAAGGCAGAUAGUAUACAGUACAAAAUUGGGGGGUGUAUCCACUUUGAUUUUAAAUGUUCUAGCCCAGUGCUGUCCAGUAGAAAUCUCAUGUGAGCCACAUAAGUAAUUUUUAAUUUUCUAGUAGCUACAUUUAAAAAGGUAAAAAGAAACAGGUGAGAUUAAUUUAAUAAUGUAUUUUUCGUUAUCUACUGUAUCUAAAAUAUCAAUAUAAAUAUAAAAUUGAAAUUUUUACUAAUCAAUUUUACUUCUUUUAUUCACACUAAGUCAUUGAAAUCUAGAAUAUAGUUUACAUUUACAGCAUCUCAACUUGGACUCAAUUUCAAGUACUCAAUAACCACAUGCCUCUCGGGGUACAUCUAGAUCAAUUGGCGUAACAGAGUUCAUAAAGAAAAUGUUCUAUAUCCUACUUUGGUGAGCAGUGUCUGGAGUUUUAAAAGCUUGCGAGUGGCCAUCUAAGAUACAUGUAUUGGUCCUGUUCCAUCCAGAGCAAAGAAUGAAGAAAACCAAAGACACAAGGAAAAUACUAGCCCAAAAGACUAAAGGCUCACAUGAACCAGAGUCUCCACCAGCCUGAGCCCAGAAGAACUAGAUGGUGCCUGGCCACCACAACCAGCCACUCUGACAGGAAUCACUACAGAGUGUCCCAAACACAGCGGGAGACAAAUGUAACACAAUUCAAAUUCACGAAAAAAGACCAGACUUAUGAUCUGACAGAGACUGGAGAAACCCCUGAGACCAUGGCCCCUGGACGCUCUGCUAACACAGAACUGAAACCACUCCCAAAGCCCACUUUCACACAAAAAUUAGACAGGGCUAUAAAGCAAGCGAUAACACAGCUACAGCCAUCUCCUUGUCCUCUUGAUUGACUACCUACUCGUGAAUUGUUCAUUAUAACCACAAAUAUGGCUGAUUCUAGCACAACUAGAUUAUCACUUACCAAAAAAGUGCAUCCUAUUUUGAUGAAGAUUCAACAUUUUGGGUAAGUUGUGUACAUGGCAGAUCUUCAGUUCUGUUUACAGAUUAAAGAUCCAUAAGUAGUAUCCAAGCUGUUGUUAAACUAAAAACCUCAUAAACCGUACCCCACUCCUUAGUCAUUGCCUUUAGUGUUCAGGAUCAGUAAACACACAGAACAUAGACACCUUUUGGCUGUCUUGCACAAGAAGGCUUUUCUGAAGAUUUCAUAAGGUCUAAAAAUCAUCACCUCUCACCAGUUCCAUCCAGUUCACAGUGCAUUGAGGCAUCUGCAUCCACAGGGCUGCCCUUCAGGAGACUUAUCAGGAUAGACAGUUUGUUGCUGACACCUCUGCGUUGGUGCAGAGGGAUUUCUGAUCUGAUCUGCUUGUGAGCCCAUAGCGUUCUAUGAUAGCUUCUUCUUGUUAGUUGCCAUUGAGUCAGUUCCAAUUCAUGGUGAUCCCAUGUGUGCAGAGUACAGCUGCGCCAUAGAAUUUUCAAGGCUCUUACCCUUCAGAAGCAGACAGCUAGGCCUGUCUUCCUAGGUGCCUUCUGGGUGUGUUCGAACUAGUAGUGUGUUCCAGUCAGUAGUCAAGUGCUUAACUAUUUGUACCACCCAGGGAAUUCACCAUGGGAGCAUCUAUCCAUAAACCCUGAGAGAUCCAGGCUUUAAUAUUGGGGUUCCAUUCCAGAUUACAAAGAUCCUAAAUUUUUAACUUUAUAUACGCAAUAGGGAAAAUAGCUAUUCUUUCCUACCCAUACUUACUAAGGAUUCUGAUUAGGUCCGGGAUCCAUAGGUAUGUUGUUUAACAGAGGUAUUCUUAAAACAAAGACACUGUUCGACUGCUAUCCUGAUUUGAAAAGCUCUUUAGCAAUGAAUAGUGAAGAGAACUGUUUUCCAAUCCUUUCAAGUUCAUUGACAAUUCUAUUUUAGUAUUGAGACCCAUCUGAUUAAUAAUCUUUCCUUUCAGUUUCUAUAGAACAGACUUUAAUCAAAAGCACAUGUAUUCCCCAAUUGGAUCACAAUAGAGGGUCCUAGACAGAGCAGGAGAGAAAUGUAGAACAAAAACUCAAAUUCAUAAAAAAGACCAGACUUACUGGCCUGAUAGAAACUGGAGGAACCGUCAAGCUUAUGGCCCUAAGACACAUGACUUGGAACUGCAGCCGUUCCCGGAAACCACCUUCCAGCCAAGCAAUAGGCCAAUAAAAUAAAAACACUCAAAAAGAACAUGAUCCAUUGAAUAAACAAUUAUAUGAGACCAAAAGGGCAACAUUUGCCCAAAAGUAAAGAUGAGAAGGCAGGAAGGGGUAGGAAAACAAGACAAAAGGAAACAGGGAGCACAGGGCAGAAAUGGGGAGAGUGUUGACACGGUGUGGGGAUUGCAACCAACGUCAUGGAAUACUUUGUGUACAAUUUGUUGAAUGGGAAACUAAUUUGCUCUGUGAACUUUGACCUAAAACACAGUAAAAUAUUUUUUAAAAAAAUGUAUUCCCACCCAACACCUCUCUAGCUUGGAAGAGAUUAAAUCGUAACCCUAAUUAUUUUCUCCUUUCUAGACUAAACCAUGAUAAAUCCAUUUUUCUCUUCCAGGAUUGCUGACGACUAUAUCACAACCACCUAAAUAGUUUUAUAUAAUAGGGAGAAACAGAUACUCUUCUUUCCCACGGAUACCUACUUCAUAGUAUUGUUCUAAGAAUUAAGUUUGUUCAGGGACAGAAUUAAUUGGAGGGGAAGUUUAUUCUUUGGAAAGGAUAGAGGCAUCAGGUUUCAUUAGCAGAAUAAAAUGAGUUGUUAGUAAAUUCAGGAUAAUGAGAAAUGAUCAAGACUGGAGAAGCAAGCUGAAAUUGGAGAGGUUACUGUAGAAGGUACGCAUUCUUGGGGCACAAACCACAAGAACCAAGAACACAGUAGAAAUGUGACCAAGUGGAGUAAGUCUCAGGAAAGCUUGCCUGGCACGAAUACCUUAGGGUGUUGGUAUUAUAACAAGAAAAUCCUUAAGAAGAUGCAGUGGACAGAGAAAAAGAUGUAGAAAUACAUGUGUUCUAUGAAACUCCUUGGAGGAGAGAGUCUGGAAAGGAUUUUGGGGAGGGAUUUGUGAGCUAGACAGAAGUGAAGUUGAGGUAAAGAAUUUAUAACAGGGUUAAAUUGUGGGGAAAAAACUGAGUAGAAUGAUGCAUCUUGUGUUUUCCAUCCACUGGCUCCAGCCAAAGUCAGUGUUAACCAUACAAUUGCAUAUCCUUGCCUUCUUAUCUCUUCUGCUUGUUACCAUGACUGCAUAGAAAGAGCCUUAGUCAGGAAAAGCUGAUGCUCAUUCCCCUGAUUUGAGAUCGAAACACUCACAGCAGCACAGUUCCUCACACUUGUAGGAGAGUUUGGUAAAUUAAUCACCUGCAUUUGUCCCUUGAAUUCUAUCUAGAAACGCAUUCCUCCCCACCCUGUCAACCCCCAGCUAUCGUAUUGACUCUCUCGGCAUAACUCAGUACUAGCAGGAUAACAUCAGAUCGGCAUCUCUACCCUUCCUCUCUCCUAAGCGCCUGCACCUAUUUACAAUUAUGGUCAGAAUUACCAUUCAGAUCACCCACUGUUCUAAACUCAAUGUGUUUGAGACCAAUCCCUCAUUUGUAAUCCCUCCUCUACCCCCAGAAACCAGCUGCCUACUCCCCUGGGUCCUUUAGCCAUCCUGUUCUAAUCCUCCCCAACAUGGAGUCCUUAAGGCCUGUAACCGGU